rnacentral:rRNA from 1 species
UGUAAAUCCUGUGUAGAGGCCGGGGUAAUAGUGUGGGUGAAAGAGUGAAUGGUAAUUGGUGGGCGAAAAGCGGCAGCAGGCGGUUGGAGAAGUUAGAUGGGAAAUACGCGGGCUAAACCUGGGAAUGGCAUGUAAAACUGUCCAGCGAGAGUAUUGUAGAGGGGGGUAGAAUUGCAGGUGUAGCGGUGAAAUGCGUAGAGAUCUGGAGGAAUACCGGUGGCGACGGCGGCCCCCUGGACAAAGACUGACGCUCAGGUGCGAAAGCGUGGGGAGCAAACAGGAUUAGAUACCCCGGUAGUC